AGCGUAGACGGUGUGGCAAGUCUGAUGUGAAAACCCAGGGCUCAACCCUGGGACUGCAUUGGAAACUGUCAAGCUGGAGUGUCGGAGAGGUAAGCGGAAUUCCUAGUGUAGCGGUGAAAUGCGUAGAUAUUAGGAGGAACACCAGUGGCGAAGGCGGCUUACUGGACGAUGACUGACGCUGAGGCUCGAAAGCGUGGGGAGCAAACA
rnacentral:rRNA from 1 species